GCCGGCAUGGCGGAAUUGGCAGACGCGCGGGACUUAAAAUCCCGUUCCCGCAAGGGAGUGCGGGUUCGACCCCCGCUGCCGGCA
rnacentral:tRNA from 1 species